rnacentral:rRNA from 1 species
GACGAACGCUGGCGGCGUGCUUAACACAUGCAAGUCGAACGGAAAGGCCCCCUUGUGGGGUACUCGAGUGGCGAACGGGUGAGUAACACGUGAGUAACCUACCCUUGACUUUGGGAUAACUUCAGGAAACUGGGGCUAAUACCGGAUAGGAGCUCCUGCUGCAUGGUGGGGGUUGGAAAGUUUCGGCGGUUGGGGAUGGACUCGCGGCUUAUCAGCUUGUUGGUGGGGUAGUGGCUCACCAAGGCUUUGACGGGUAGCCGGCCUGAGAGGGUGACCGGCCAAAUGGGGACGGAGAACCGGCCCAGACCCCUCCGGGGGGGAGGAGGGGGGAAAUUUCAAAAAGGGGCGGAAGCCUGAUGAAGCACCCCCGGGGGGGGGAAGCGGGCCUUGGGGUUGUAAACCGUUUUCGCCUGGGAGGAAGGGGGGGUGAGGGUAAGGGGAAAAGAAGCACCGGCUAACUACGU